UACGGAGGGUGCGAGCGUUGUCCGGAAUCACUGGGCGUAAAGGGCGCGUAGGUGGCGCGGAAAGUCAACGGUGAAAGCUUGGGGCUCAACCCCGAGUCGGCCGUCGAUACUUCUGGGCUUGAGCACUGUAGAGGCAGGUGGAAUUCCGGGUGUAGCGGUGGAAUGCGUAGAGAUCUCCAAGAACACCCGUUGCGAAGGCGGCCGACUGGACACAUAUUGACGCUGAGGCUCGAAAGCAUGGGGAGCAAACAGG
rnacentral:rRNA from 1 species